GUUGCGCGGCGCUGGCGGGCGGGGACACCAACGGGGAGUGGAUACUCCGAGGCUCAACCUGGGGCCUCUGCCCGCCCUCCCCUGGGUGCGGAGCCGGACGGCGGGCACUGGCAACCCCCGGGCCCCUGGAGAGCCCCGCGGCGGCCCAAGACCCGCUCCCGAGACACGUGGGCCCCUCCGGACUUGGUUGGUCCCUGGAGCCAGCUGCGCGCGUCCUCUCCGGCCUCCUUGUCGGCGCUGGAGUGGGUCCACGUCUGCCUUGCGGAGCGCGGUGGUUCCACGCUCCUGAGCGCCCACGCUGCGCAGACCUGGCCGCUCUGCGAGGCGACGGCAGCGCACUGAAGACCGUGGUGUUUCCCAAGCCCUCCCUGCUCUCGGGCCUCCAGGGCGCAGCAGGGGAGGGUUUUGUCCCCGUGGCCAAAGCUCUGCAGGUCGAACCUUAUCUGCUAUGGGAAGGCCCCGCAUUUUCAGAUUCACGCAGGGCCCUCUGCAGACUGUUGGCAGAAAAAAGGUAGCCACCAAACACAUGCAUAAGCUGGACUUUUCCCAGAAUGCUGCAGCAGAACUACCCUCCAGAUAGACACUAGCCUGCGGGCCACAGUGCUACGUGAGUCUUGCAAAGAGGAGAUCUUUAUGGCGAGGCUGAGAGCACUGCCUGCAUGCUUUACCAGAGCCCAGCCUCCAGCCUCCACGGAAAAUGUGUUUUGGAAUCAACACUCUUUGCAAAGGCUCCACACUGCUUUCUGGUAGCAUUGGCCUGGGCGCCCAGGCACUCCUUUAGAACCCACCUGUUCCCCCCACCCACCCUAGUGGGAGGAGGAGAGGGUUACACUGACAGAUACCGGCAGCUCUGCAACCCGGGAACAACGCAGACAACAUACAACUCGACAGAGUCACAGAAGGUGGCGUCCAUCGCGCCUGGAUGGUGACUACUGCCCUGCGGGCUGCUGGGUGGGUGAAACACACAGGGAAGAAGCACAAAUACACACACAGAUGUGGCUCAGGGACAUUUGAAUGCUUCAGUGUGUGAAUUUUUUAGCGCAUUCUGACUCGAAAUUAUGGCUGAAUAGUGGCGCACUAAUGUCCAAGUCCAUGUUCGAUAAUGGCAGGAAGUCUGCACUAAUUGGUCUAUUUAGUAGUUGCUGAGGUGGCAAAAGCUGCAGCUGCUGGUGGCUGAAAGAGAGAGAGAGAGAGAGAGACCUCCUCUUAGGCCACUUCCCAGAGCUGUGGCAGUGGGGGAGGGGGAAUUCCCCAGGAUGGUGUUUGUGGUCAAGUUCACCUCUGGCAACCCUGCCUAAGCUCUUCUCACAGGUGCACAUUUAAGAUGGACUCUGGACAGUUCCCGAGCCACUAGAGUGCCCAUCCCUGCCAGGAGGCCCCAGAUGCUCAGGGGUUUCAGCGGCCUUCUGCAGCCUCAGCCAGUGCUUACACCACACCUGGGAGCAGCAUGGGCCGCCCUCUGCCUCACCGAGGGGCAAACCGGCUGAGGACCCAGGCACGAAGAGUGUCACCAGCUCUGACCACAAGCCCCGUAGACCAGGGCUGCGUCCAUAAUCGGGGUUGAUGGCAUUAGUUAUUAUAUUAUAACCUCCUUGUUGCGUGAUUCUAGUAAUUUAUUUUCCCACUUGGCCUUUGACUGGGCUGGGCUCCUCCCAGUGGAACAACAGGGGGUGUCGUGUUUGCAGCAGAAACGCACACUGGGAUCCUUUCUUGCAACAGCUGGGCCGGCUGGGUCUUUUCUCUUGUCUUCUGUACACAGGCCCCUCUCCGCUGUUUCUGCAGAGACCGAGGUGGGAGGGAGAAAGACCCUCCAGCCCUCUGCUCCCACCCUCCCCGCAGUCUCCGGGGCCCUGUGCUGCAGGCAAGAUAAUUUGGCUAAUGAACUCGUUAAAGGGCCCCUGGUGACCCGCCCCGGCUUCCCCUCGGCCCAUCUGGGAAAUUCCAUUGAAAGGCUGGAGAAGGUUCCUCAGCCCCGCCGCCUUCUGUCGCUGCUAGAGGCGCGAACCCGGUGACUCUGGGCCCCUUACAUUAAAAUAAUUACCCGGCGGAACAGGUGGCCCACUCCCGGCGCCUGGGUGCAUCUGGGCCCCCGGAGCCGCAGCCCGGGAGGAGGGGAGCGGCACGCCCAGGGGAGGGAAGGUCAGGCCCGCUGAGCCGGGAGCCGGGAGGGUAGAGAGGGGCUUUCCUAGGGACAGACGGUCCCGGGGCACCCAGGCCUCCGCGGCCGAGCGGGCUGAGGCCUAAGCAGGGAGGCCGUCGCCUUCAGGCACAGGUAAGCGCAGCCCGCGCACCGCUUGGGACGCACCUGGCCACCUGCGCUGCCACCCAAGCUUGGGGUAUGCGGGUGCCCGAGCAGAACCCCGAACUCGCACCGGGCUCCGAGGUUGGAGCAACUCCUAACACUGGGCUCGGAGCUAGGGGCUUGCUGGAGGGGCGCUUGCCGCGCCGGCCCUCGGGGCUCACAGCCGGGCACGCCGGACUGCGGCGAGCGCGUGGGCGAGCGUGUCAGGAGCGUGCGCCCUGGGUGCGCGCGUGCGAGAGCGCACGUGUAGGGUGGCUUCCAGUCCUCCCUUCCCGCCUGAGAAGCGUCCACGCGGAGUUCCAGGCCGGGCGCUGGGGAAGGAGGUCCCGGGGACGCUGCUGAAAAGAGAGCGGCCAGCCCAGGCGCGGGGCCAAGCCUAUUGCCAAAAACAUAUUACCCUGCGACAUUCUGUAAAUGAGAUAAUGAUCCAUAAACCCGGAUGAUAGAUGUGGCGUGCCUGCGAUGUCUUCUCUAAAUGAGCUGCUCGCAUCGACUGCUAAUAAUGAUACUGAAGAUUUUACAGCGGGGAAUGGACAUGGUCAGACUCACAUCUAACAAAAGCCGGAAGAUGAUUCUGGAAGACACCGCCGUGGCAAUUUGGCCAGGAGGUUCCAGAGAUGGUGGUCUCAAAGGGGAGCAGUAGGAGCAAAUGGGACCAGGAGGAUUUUUCUCUUUUUUCUGGGAGAGGUAUUUUUAAGGAUGUAGAACUUAUUUUCUGACAGAAAAGUAAACAAAAUAUGUGGUGGCAGUAUAACUGGAAAAUGCAGUAAAAGACAUUUGCGUUAUUAGGGAAAUACAACUCAAAACCACAGUGAGACACCACUUCACACCCACGAGGAUGGCUAUUAUCAAAAUCAUGGGUAAUAACAAGUGUUGGCAAGAUGUGGAAAAACUGGACCCUCGUACACUGCUGGCGGGAACAUAAAAUGGUGUAGCCACUUUGGAAGCAGUUUGGCAGUUUCUCAAAAACUUAAACAUAGGCCGGGCGUGGUGGCUCAUGCCUAUAAUCCUAGCACUUUGGGAGGCCAAGGUGGAAGAAUCACUUGAGCCCAGGAGUUCAAGACCAGCCUGGGCAACAUAGAGAGAUCCUGACUCUACAAAAAAAAUUAAAAAUUAGCCAGAUGUGGUGGUGCAUACCUGUAGUCCUAGCUAAUCGGGAGGCUGAGGUGGGAGGAUCUCUUGAGUCCAGGGAGUUGAGGUUGCAAUGAGCCAUUAUCGUGCUGCUGCACUCCAGCCUGGGUAACAGACUGAGACCCUGCCUUAAAAAAAGUUUUUUUUAAUUAAAAAAAAAAAGAAAAAAGUUGGCUGGGCGUGGUGGCUCACGCCUGUAAUCCCAGCACUUUGGGAGGCUGAGGCAGGCGGAUCACGAGGUCAGGAGAUCGAGACCAUCCUGGCAAACACAGUGAAACCCCAUCUCUACUAAAAAUACAAAAAAUUAGCCAGGCGUGGUGGCAGGCGGCUGUAGUCCCAGCUACUUGGGAGGCUGAGGCAGGAGAAUGGCGUGAACCUGGGAGGAGGAGCUUGCAGUGAACCGAGAUUGCGCCACUACACUCCAGCCUGGGUGACAGAGCGAGACUCCGUCUCAAAAAAAAAAAAAAAAAAGGUUAAACAGGGCUGGGUGCAGUGGCUCACGCCUGUAAUCCCAGCACUUUGUGAAGCCAAGGUGGGCGGAUCACUUGAGGUCAGGAGUUCGAGACCAGCCUGGCCACCAUGGCAAAACCCCAUCUCUACUACAAAUACAAAAAUUAGCCGUGCGUGGUGGUGCACACCUGUAAUCCCAGCUACUCAUGAGGCUGAGUCAGGAGAACUGCUUGAACCUGGGAGGUGGAGGUUGUAGUGAGCUGAGAUUGCGCCACUGCACUCCAGCCUGGGUGACGGAGCAAGACUGUUUCAAAAAAACAAAAAAAAGUUAAACAUAAAGUUGCCAUAUGGCCACUCCUAGGUAUAUACCCAGGAAGAAUGAACACAUAUGUUCACCCAAAAGCUUGUUCAUAAAUGUUCACAAUAGCAUUAUUUAUAGAAUAACCAAAAACUGGAGACAACCCAAAUAUCCAGCAACUGAUGAAUGGAUAAACAAAAUGUGGAAUAUCCAUGCAGUGGAAGACUAUUCAGCAAUGAAAAGGAACGAAGGAUUGAUACAUGCUACAACACGGAUAAACCUUGAAAACAUCCUGCCAAGCAAAAGACACCCGUCACUAAAGACCACCUAUUACAUGAUGCCAUUUAUAAGAAAUGUUCCUAAUAGGCAAAUCUACAGAGACAAUAAAUAGAUUCGUGGUUGUCUAGGACGGGAGGGUGAUGAUGUAUUAGGGAGAAAUGGAGAAUGACUGCCAUGGGCAAAGGGCUGCUUUUUGGUGUGAUAAAAAAGUUCUAAAAUUGGUUGUGGUGAUGGUUGGCCAACUCUGACUAUACUAAAAAACACUGAAUUGUACAGUUUAAAUGGAUGGUAUAUGAAUUACAUCUCAGUAAAAUAGCUUAAAAAUACACUUAUGAUUUUAUGAUUAUGUGAUUCCCUUUGGAGCCAGACAGUAUGAUUGGACCUAUAAAAAGGAAAUGUGAUCCUUGGCUUCCAAAGCUUUGCUGCUCAAAAGUAGACUCUUCCAAACACCAAGGUCUAGGUGACUCUCUUUUAAUUAAUUUUUUCUAGCUUUGCACUUUUUGUCUAAUAGACUUGUGCUUUGCUUUGUUUAUAUUUUUGUUUUUCAAGUUUUAUAAUAAUGUGUGUGCUUGUACAUUCUCCUUGUAAAAUUUAAAAUAUUGUUGAAAGGUCUGAAGUCACUUUGAUCAUUCCCUCUGCUCCCAAUACCCCCAACUUCCUCCUACCAUGCCUGUGUAUACUCACAGACCUUUACAUUUGAAUUUUCCUAAAUCUUCAUGUAUCUAUAAUAGUAUAUAAGAUUUUGCAUCUGUGUAUGUGUGUGUUUAGCAUAAACAGUAUUCCCUGUCAUGCUGCAACUUGUCCUGUGCACUCAGCGAUGUCCGUGUUGGUCUCUCCUUGUUGGUCGCAUUCUUCUCAGCUGCUGCUUAGUUUUCCAUGAUGUAUCAAGGCCAUAGUUCCUCCAAUCAUUCCACUAUGGCAGAUAUUUAGUUGCCCCAGAAUCCUGUAUUUCAUGCUUUUCUCUUUGUGAAUUCCUUUUUCAUUUUGCUGGAGCACCACCUUGAGUAAUUUUUUCAAGUCUUGUGUGGCGUGUUGAUAUCCUUUUUUUGACCUCACAGGUGGCCAUUUGUUCAUGUGCUAUAGAAUUCUAGGUUCAGCAACUUUUCCCUCUAAGUUUUGGACACUUCGUUUCAUUGUAUUAUUAUAUAUUAUCACCAAGAAGCAAUCUGAGGAGUCUUGUCACUUUAUACGUACCUUCUCCUCUCCUCCCAGAAGCUCUUAGGAUUUUUUGUUUUUUAAUUUUUGGAAUUCUGAAAUUUCAUCAGAGUGUGUCUAGGUUUGAGAGCAUUUUUUAAAUUAAUUCUGCUGGUAUUCUCUAGGUCUUUGUCAUCCAAUAAUAUGACUUUCUUCUGCUCAGAGAAAUUGUCUUCUAUUAUUUCUUUCAUGUUUUCUUUUAUUUCUUUGAUAUUUUCUUUCCUUCUGUAGUCUCUUUUCUG
rnacentral:lncRNA from 1 species